GCUACGGGCGGCAGCAGUGGGGAAUAUUGCACAAUGGGGGAAACCCUGAUGCAGCGACGCCGCGUGAGUGAAGAAGGAAUUCGGUACGUAAAGCUCUAUCAGCAGGGAAGAAAAUGACGGUACCGGAGUAAGAAGCCCCGGCUAACUACGUGCCAGCAGCCGCGGUAAUACGUAGGGGGCAAGCGUUAUCCGGAUUUAAGGGGUGUAAAGGGAGCGUAGUCGGUGCGCCAAGUCUGGAGUGAAAGGCCGCCGCUUAACUUCGGAACUGCUUUGGAAACUGGCGACCUAGAGUGCGGGAGGGGUAAGCGGAAUUCCUAGUGUAGCGGUGAAAUGCGUAGAUAUUAGGCGGAACACCGGUGGCGAAGGCGGCUUACUGGACCGUAUCUGACGUUGAGGCUCGAAAGCGUGGGGAGCAAACAGGAUUAGAUACCCCUGUAGUC
rnacentral:rRNA from 1 species